CUCCCAAUAUACUCUGAGUUGCAGGGUGAUCCACACACAAAAUUGAAUUUCUUUGAUUUUAGUUUCGAAUGCCGCAAACAAUUCAUCGAUAAAACAUUGGAGUAAAAUGAGAUGCCCGUUUUACUACAAAUGUGCGUAGCGCCCAAUUAUUGUGGAACAUGUGGCACCCAAUGUUAAGUCGGCCAAAGCUUGUUGUUUUCCAGCUAAAACUUCAAGAUUUCACUAUCGGUUUUCGUUGAAGACCUCAUCGUAAAUAAUUUUCUCCAUUUUCUCUCCUCCUCUCACUCUCCAAGGUCAAAAAACGUUCAAGUGAUGAAUUAUCAGGGAAAAAGAAACCGAGGUGAUUCAGCAGCGGGCAGCUUUGGUCCUCGUUAGCAGUUACU